CUGCCCGUGUGGUCAGGUGGCCCGCGGGCAUCCUCAGCUCCUGCAGGCGCGGUCCAGGCCGCACCAGUGCUUCUGCAGCUGCCGUUUCAAGGUGCUGCAAUUAAUAUUGAUGCCAAAACAUGAGUCUUAAUGCUAUAUCCUGAGCUACCCCUAAAAAAGAGAAGAUGGAGUUGAGUGAAGAGUGAUGUAGCUCCCAGAAGGAAGAAGGUCUAAAAGCCAAGGACGAGGGACAGCGCGCCCUUGGAGGUGGUGUGCGGAGGAGGGCCGUCUGCAGUGUGGACGCGGGAGGCUGGGACCCAGGGAAAGACACUCAAACCAAAGAAGUCUAGGCCAGCAUAUGAAGACCCUUCCGGAAGAGCUCAGCCUCCUCUAGUCUUUCCCGCUCUCUGUUCGGGGUGAGCAGGAGGGAGGAGAGAAGAAAGCCCAGAAGUAAAGCCUGCAGCAGAGUCUUCCAGAACCCUGAGCACUGGCCCACGGGACCUGAGAGGAAAGAGGGAUGCUGACCCCUCUCCCCACAAGAGAGGACUCGCAGCUUGAGUUGUUCUCGUAGGACAGAGACAAUAGAAGAAACUGUGCUGAGCCAUCAAACAGAAAAGAAAGGAGAAGGAAAGGAACGGAGAGGGAGCUGCAGUGUGACGCCUCCCGCGUGACUCCUACCUGGCAGAUGAAGCUGGUGGCUGACAGGCGCCUUCAGUCACAGCAGGUGUCUUCUUUGCCACAUUUCCAGUUCAGGUCUGACAGACCCAGGGCUGCGAACUCACAUGACUCCAGGAAAAGUUCACGGGUCUGUGUGAGUGUGGACGGUUCUCCCCAGAGCCUGGCUGCAGGAAUGGUCAGGUACGAGGUACAGCAGGAGAGGAUGGACCCAGCACCUCGGAACCAGCUUGAAAACACAGUCAUCAGUGACAAGGCAUCUGAAUUGGUGACCCCUUGGAUGGUUUUGGUUUCACCACUGGAACAAGGGUCAUUAACCUUUGCAUGGAGAUGUGCUGCAAGAAGAAGCUAUGAAAAAUCCCCACGGAUGUUUUUCCGAAGGUGUAGGGGAUGUGGUGACCUUACAGCUAACUUCCAGGGGUCAGAUUUGGAAUAGAACGGUGUGCAGUUUGAGUUUCACGUCAAACGCAUGUUCCGUCUUCUCUAAGUUUUGUCCGCCUCUGACAACGAGGCGAGAGACCAGUGGGAGUUCCCACCGGCUUUCCGAAGGCCCGCACUGCAAUUACGGGGCUCAGCAGCUGCCCGCACAGCCAGCCCGAGUUUGGCCGGUGCGGCGGUCGGAGCACUGCGCAGCCCGCCUCCCUGUUGGUCUAGCCUGGUCCGCCUUGCAGGUUGAAGUCCCAGGCUUGGCUGCAGGGCUGGAGUGUUUGCUCCCAUAAAUGUAGGAUUUGCAGCACUGUUGACUUUUGUUUAGCUUUCCUGUUUGUCAUAUCUCGCAAUGCUUCCUUUCGGUUCAGAAUAUUUGGCAACUUUGUGGAAACAGGCUGGCUGCCUUAAAUCAAGAAUUUAAAAGUUUAAUUUAGGUUGAUUAUUCUCUAAAGAAAAAAGGGAGAUGCUUUUCAGCAUAAAUUUUCACUUCCUCAUUGUAGAUCUUUUUAUCAGCUGAUUGAGGUAAUAGCGUUCUCUCAAGAACAUGACAUCUUGAGUAUCUGUAGAAGUGGUUGUAUGUACAGAAUACAUCUAAAGGGUCUGGCAGAAAGUUAGGACACAAAUAUUGGCCAUCGUUAUUAUUGUAGGUACAAUUUAAAUUAUGUAAGCGAUUAUCUAUCCUGUUUCGCUUUGGCUUCUAGGAAGCUCCAAGGCAAAUUCAUGGCUGAUUUAUAAUUACCUUGUAGAAAAUGCAUUUAUGCCUAAUUACUGUAUGUUUUUGUAGUUACCCAUGCGAUUUUUCUGUAACUGCUCCUGGGUUCUGAUUAUUUCUCUCUAUUUUUUUUUGUAUUUGUAAUCCAUUGUCAAAAGAUAGAGAUAAAUGGAGUGAUACACAUUUUUAUUAUGUAAAACCAGGAUGAGAGCUGCAGUCUCCUAAUAGGUAUAUUUAUCCUUAAUGUACGAAAAACUGUAGUUCACUUUACAAUUAGAAUCACAGCAUUUUUUCCUACAAUCCAGAUUUAAUUCUAAUAUUAGAAGAAAUUAUCUCCUGAAAGAUAACAUCUAAACAGCUUAGCCUGGCCCUGAAACCUUCCUCAAAGUGACUUUGAUCUGUUUCAUCUGUUGUACGUCUCCCCCGACCAAACUUCCGCGCUGCCCAGGUUGGCCUGAUAAGGUUCAGCUCCUCUGCCUCGCUCUCAGCGAAGCACAGGGAACACAGUUGGCAAAAGGAAGAAGAGCUCAGGGGAUUCACCAUGACUAACAGCCCUCCUGAGUUUUCAUGCCACUGGUAUGUAGAGGGCUUUGAUUCUUCUUGUUUUAGACACCAUUUAGGGGCAAACUUGAGCAAUGGGAGCCUUUUUUUCCAAAUAAAAAAAAAGAGAGAGAAAGUUUGAAAACUGCAAAAAAGAUUGAAUUCAUUUUGGCUCUGUUUCUUAUAAACAGCGCAAAGCCUACUUAAGCUCUCUGCUGACCCAGGAGCACAUCUGUGUGGGAGUGUUUUGUUUUUCUUUUUACAGUAAGGUUAAUUUCCAAGCCUGGUGACUUUAUGGCCUUCCAGUAUGCAUCAUUUUUACCUCUGCAGGAUCUUAGUGACCAGACAAGUCAUCCUUCCUUCACGCAGUCACUCAUUUAAGUCAGUAAAUAGUUCUUAGGUCUUUUUUAUGUGCCAGGCACAAAGAUAGAGGGAGAAACAGAUAGACAAGUACUCGCCUUCUUUGGGAGGCUGGGAAAAGUAAAACCUAAAACCAAGCACUUAAAAAAAUUAAAAUUACAAGUUCAAACAUUCAAAAGAACUACGUAGACAUCUCUAUCAGAGGGUAACUAUUAUAUAGAUAAACGUGUCAAUGUAAAAGUAAGGCUGUGAGGAGGAUUAAGGAAUGAGCGUCCUGGGACCACGUGAGGUCAGGAGGGCCUCUCUCAGGAAAUAACAUUUUGAAAGAAGAAAGGGGGAAAAAAAUCAACAAAAGGAAAUAGUUCCCCAAAUUUGAGCCCAUUUUCUGAAGUUGAGAAGUUUUGCAAAGGAAUGCCUUGGAGUUCCCUGGUAGCCUAGUGGUUAAGAAUUUGGUGUUGUCACUGCUGUGGCUCAGGUUUGAUCCCUGGCCCCAGGAACGUCCACGUGCUGUUGGUGUGGCCAAAAAAAAAAAGAUUGCCUGUCAUGUAUGGGUGUAUAAUAAUAUGUAAUUCAUGUAUAAUAUAGAUUAUAAUUAAUAUGCAUUUAAUAUAUUUCAUAAUAUACAAUGGACAUGUCUAUUAUAUUAAUAUAACUAAUACACAGUAUAGAUUACAAUAUCUGUCAUAUAUGUGUAGUUUAGACAGGGAAUGCAGUCAAAAAAUUUUAAGCUAUUUGUUACUUUCAUAGUUUAAUUUUCUGGGAUCAUAAAAAUUGCAUGAAAGCUGUGGGUGCGUCCCGAAAAAAAUAAAUAAAUAAAAAUUGUACG
ensembl:lncRNA